UAAAUUUAAUUCGAAGUUAGAGCCAGUGAGUUCGCCGAUUGUUACUUAAAUGCGCGCGUUGAUAGUCUUUUAUUUUUCUUUUUUCAUAUUUUUUCUUGUUCAAUACUUGUUUUCGGUAUUAGAGUCAGUGCUCAAGAAGAUGAGGCCUCUCCAGGAGAUCAAGACCACGCUUAACAUCAGCAAAAAUGUUUUUGCGUUUUUGGGGGAAAAUUCUAAAGUGGCUCUAAAGCCAAAAAAAUUUUCUACACUCUUCACUUCCCCUAAUUUUCUAAGGAUCUUAUGAUGCUUUAAAAACUAAAAAUAAAAUUUUUUACGACGUUCACUUCCAUCAUGGAAUUGUCAGUGGUAUCUACUUGAUGAGGAUCUUCACGAUAACUUUUCGUGGUCCAGUGCAGCAUUGAUGAUAACGUUCUUCACAUCUAUCGCGUGAGUCGCAUGCAUUUAUGUUCCUCCGGUCACUCAAUCAUGUCGUAGGAUGAAAGGUCCGAAUCGGCACGGGUGACUGGUUGUAUACGUAGAAUUUUUGAUGAGCAUAGUGACCGCGGGUAUUUUUUAUACCCGUGAGUAGUAACAUUUUUUCAAGUUUUUAAUGUAUUAGAUGAGGACAGGGCUUCUUGCAUAUCGCGAUUUUAACA